GAUGCAAGUAAGGAGGACGGUUUUAAUCCCUGACUGAGUCGACUCGGUGAGUUUGGGCCAAAUGAACGAGUCGUCACGCGUGAGGAGCUUUCGUAAGAGGAUUGUUGACAUGGCCCGAGCUUCCUGGUGCGGGGAAGAGGUGAGGACGUUGGCGAGCUUGAGAGCGAGUGCAUUCGGAUCAUUUUGCUUGAUGAGAUUGAAAACCGACUCGGCUUGGGACCGUUGCUCGUUGGAAGCGGACAUGGCGGGCUUCUUGGUGCGAGGAAGAGGUGAGGACGUUGGCGAGCUUGAGAGCAAGUGAAUUCGGAUCAUUUUGCUUGAUGAGAUUGAAAACCGACUCGGCUUGGGACCGUUGCUCGUUGGAAGCGGACAUGAGAUGAGAGAUAAGGGUUUCAAAGGGUGCUGAAUCUGGCCCGAGGAUUGCAGCCAGUUGAGCUUGCUCCGCAGCCAUGGCGAAUUGAGUUAGUGAGAGAGAAAGGGCUCUGUGUGUGUGUGUGUGAGUGACUGGAUAUGGCUAUGGAGAAGAAAGCAGGUGGCGGUGAGUUUUGAGUUUUGUGUUUUCUCUCUCACACACAAGGGAUGAGGGAAGUGUGUGUCGCUAUGAAUAAUAUAGAGAGGCGUGAUUCGUGAAACACACACUGGCG
rnacentral:lncRNA from 1 species